ensembl:lncRNA
AUGACCACCACUUCCUGUUCCUAUGACCCCCCCACUUCCGGUUCACAUGACCACCACUUCCGGCUGACGACUGCUCUGAGCAGCCACGUGACACUGCGGGGCAUGGUGAUAUUUCAAAAUCCAAAAAUCAUUCCAGAAUCUGGACGCUACUGUAAGUUUUCUGGCCGUGACAAGACAGGAAGUCAGUCAUACCUCUGUGCACGUCCUUCUUCACCAACCUUCCUGAGACCUUUUUCCCUCAAGAAUUAAGCAGAAACCAGUCAUGGAAAACCAAGAACAAAGACUCCUCUGCUGAAUUCAAGCAGCCUCCUGACGCUGCAGCCAGACUGCCCUCCCCUUCCCUGGUUUUGACCUGACAGCAGCCAUCUCUGCGAUCACCAUCACAGACUGGCUCUGGCUGGUCAUGGCGGCUGUGCACACAGCACCUGUGUCCUGUCUUUCACCUUUUGAUGUAGAGCCUAAUUUUACUGCAUUUUAAAGUUACAUCCAUCCCAACUGAACAUGGGACACACGUAACAUAUAUGUUUGCGUCUCACAUGUGUGCCUGACCUUUCUUCAUGAAUAUUCAUAGCUUCUCCUAUAACCUGUUAAAUAUGUCCAUUCGGCUGACCUGUUUAACAUAGCAUUCCUGUCCCCGCCUCCCUCCCUCCAACCACCUGCUUUCAGUCUCCAUGGAAGGCUCCACUUCCCAGUCUGCAGGUUGCAACCCAUGAGAAGAAAUAGUUAUCAGCUGAGACCCACGUGGGCGGUGGGCAGAGUGGCUGUGGUGACACCCGGGAGGCCGAGUCUGGGCCUCACUGGCAGGCGCUGACCUGGUUGGCAGUGAGUGGGCGUGGCCUGGGCGGGGAGGCCUCCUCUCACUGUGCCCUCCAAGCAGGUUGGGCCAUAGGUCGGUAGGAGCCUUAGGCCUGCUGGCCCACUCUGGUGGGUAAGGCGGGAGCAACGGACGCCUUAGAAGAAAAGAGCUUCCUGCUGCCUGUCUCCUCCACCUCUGAUGCAGAAUUUGAGGCUGCGGUGGGAUAUUUAGAGGACACUAUCAUGGAUGAGGAGUCCCGUCAUGGACAGGUAUACCAGGAGUUCGAAGACACAGAAGCGAGUAAGUCCAUCCACAUGCCUGUUUUUAGUGAACGUAUUUGAUAGAAAAGUGCAUUGAGAAAUAACCGUGGAGCGGAUUCCCGGAUGUUACGUGGCAGCUCUCACAGCAGCAUGGCAGCAUCAAAAAGGUGAAGGCUGGUGACUUACUUGACGUGCCGCUCACAUUUGUGUAUUUUCCGGCUUUUGAAUACAUGUUUCUGGACUGAAAAGCAGAAAUGAUGGCUGGAGACUGGACUCGAGCAGGGCUUUAGUGGUGACUUUCUUGUGCAAAUCGUCUUCCCAAGGGAUUUGCCAGCUUCCCAAGGGAGUCUGUGGCGCUAGGUUCCCAGGCAAUGAAUGGGGUCAUCGUGGAUGUUACUGGCCCAGUAGACCAAUAGGCUCAGCUAAUGGUGACAGAAGAACACAUAUUGGAAAGACUGACUCUGUUCUGUAACUCUUUAUUCAUGUUAGUAUUGAUAGGUCAAAACCAGAAUGACCUGACCCUCCUAAACCUGUUUCUCCUGCAACACCUUUUUGUAUUAACUGACUUGGUGCUUAGUAACCCUAGAACUCCUCCCCUGCCCAAGUAAUACCUCUCUUCGGUGCCCCCAGUCCGACUCCUUGGGAGCAAGUCCAUGCCCAGCAUCCUCCGUGGGGCUCCAGCCCCCGCAUGCAUGUUGGUGUGCCAACAGUGUGGAAUAGCCCCCAUCACCCCCUCUGCCCCUGCAGUGGUUGCAUGAACCUUUUUGUGCACUUACGGCUCUUUUUUUUUUUUUUUCUUUUAAGCAUGGGUCAGAGUUUCAGUCCUUCAGCCUCAAUGGGGUCUUUAAUGUUUCGGUAGGGUGUUACUGAAGCCAGCUGUCCGUCUUGAGAUUUCGGAAUCACCUGUGGUCACAGCUUGUCUUACCUGGAGGAAUCAACUGAGAGAGACGUCCUUUACCUAAAGGCUGUGUUGGCAUCAGCUCCUUGUCUCAACAUCUGCAGUCCUUAUGUCACUCUGUCUUCUGCUUGUCCUGGUGUAGUCCUACUAUUUUUUAGAAAUCUCUUUUAAGCAUUAUUUUUGAGAAAAUAUUUUUGUGGGUGAAUAUUCAGGCUGGGCUAGUGGGUAUGAUGUUGGAGCUUCCAUGAUUACCCACUUAGAGAUUGAGGUGUAAUAUGCCGGGUGCUUUUUAAUCGUUAGUGCUGUGAAUUCUGCGCUGGUGUUUGUUUGUUACUGUUUCACGGAGCGCUGAUGAACGUGCGCUGCAUGCUGGAAAUCGGCCACAAGGUAUCCUGUGCACAUAGCACGGUAGGGUGUUUGUGUGUUUGCUGGAAACUCUUUCUGCAUAAAUAAGUUCGGUCGGCUGUCUGCUUUAGCAUAGUGCAAUGUUUGGUGAGUAUUACUUACCAGAAAACAUGUAUGUCAUUUCCAAAAAGAAUAAAAUACAUAGUAGUUCAAUUUCCAACAUGUACUUUUGAUUUUUUUUUUUUUUUUUAGUAAAAAUCUGUAUUGAUUUUUCACUUGGCUAUUCUGGUGUUAACGGGUGAGCUACAAGCGAUGUGUUUUUCUGUACUGAUGUGUCACUUAUUAAAUUCUUUUGUACUA